CGAGCUCAUCGCCACGCAAGAUGGAGCUUGAGGCCGCACCUAAACGACGCUGCCGCAUCUUGCAACACCUCCCUGGUGCCCCCGCUUCAGCUUCGCCUGGCCACGACGCCGAGGCACCUCCGCACGCCUGCAACUCCUCCCCGUUGCCCCGCUUCAGCUUCACUCGGCCACGACGGCGCCUCGCUGCUGCCUCGCCACAACUUCGCCCGGCCCUGCUGCCGCGCCUGGAUGGAUGACACAACCGCACGCCCGCAACGCCUUCCUGCUGCCGCACCGGCACCGAAAUUUCGCCCGGCCACGGCACCAACAUCAGGCUGGAACAUCGUUAGCGCCGGCGGACAUAGUCUGCAUUAACUGAAUGUGGCGAUGAAGACCAAAAGAUGCCGUCGCUCCUUUUCUCAUUUAAGAAGAACUUAUUUUAAUAAUAAAUGAUAAAACCCCAAACAGGAAUGGAAGAACGAUGUAUGGUUGUUUCUUAUCCUCUUUAUUUUAUUAUUACUGUAGCUUGAUUUGUAUAA